rnacentral:rRNA from 1 species
AGAGAGAGACAUGCGCGCAUAUCAAUAAGCGGAGGAAAAGAAACUAACAAGGAUUCCCUUAGUAGCGGCGAGUGAAGCGGGAAGAGCUCAAAUUUGAAAUCUUCAAGGUUUUACCUUGACGAAUUGUAGUUUAAAGAAGUGUUUUCUGCUGAAGUUUUGGUAAAAGUUCCUUGGAAUAGGACAUCAUAGAGGGUGAGAAUCCCGUAUUUGACCAUUAUUUUCAGCUUUGUGAUACACUUUCAAAGAGUCGGAUUGUUUGGGAAUGCAGUCCAAAAUGGGUGGUAAAUUUCAUCUAAAGCUAAAUAUUGGCGAGAGACCGAUAGCGAACAAGUACCGUGAGGGAAAGAUGAAAAGAACUUUGAAAAGAGAGUUAAACAGUACGUGAAAUUGUCAAAAGGGAAGCGUUUGACACCAGUGUUGUUUUCUCGAAAAUCAAUUAAAAAUGGCUCGAUUUUGUAUUGUUGAGACCUUAAAAGCUCACUGUACAUUUUUCGUGUCUUUUUUAAUGCACUUUUCGUUUAACAAGUCAACAUCAGUUUCUUUUGUUGUAAAAGGGUCAUUGGAAGGUGCUUUCUUUUCGGAGAAAGUGUUUAUAGCCUUUGGCCUCUGCAAUCGGAGAGACUGAGGUCUGCAGCGUAGACUCUUCGGGGUCAGAUACAUUUGUGCUAAGUUAUAGCUUUUUAUAGACAACUUGUUGACUAUAAUUAGUCUUGUAGCUUACUCGCUUAUGCUAUUUUACCUACGCUUAGGAUGUUGAAGAUGUAGCACAUCAUA